rnacentral:rRNA from 1 species
GACGGAGGAUGCAAGUGUUAUCCGGAAUCACUGGGCGUAAAGCGUCUGUAGGUGGUCAAAUAAGUCAACUGUUAAAUCUUGAGGCUCAACCUCAAAAUCGCAGUCGAAACUAUUAGACUAGAGUAUAGUAGGGGUAAAGGGAAUUUCCAGUGGAGCGGUGAAAUGCGUAGAUAUUGGAAAGAACACCGAUGGCGAAGGCACUUUACUGGGCUAUUACUAACACUCAGAGACGGAAGCUAGGGUAGCAAACAGG